rnacentral:misc_RNA from 1 species
GUCAUAUUGUUUUUGUUGGUUACAGAGGUUAGGUUACUGUAGUCAAAACAUCUUAUUAAUAAGAAAAAAAAUCUAUAUUUAAAAACAAAAUUUCUAAAUGGCUGCUAGUGGUGUUGGAAGAGGUCGAGGGUGGUUAAAUUUAAAUAAAAGGUCAAAUCCAAUUCGACCUGGUCCCAUACCAAGUUCUAAUGAAAAUCAGAAUGCAGAAAAAGCUUCCCUGGGAAAGGAUAAAGUGCUCUCAACAUUGGAGGCAUUAGAUGUAAAAGAUGAUGGUAUCCUUUUAAAUCAAAAAUUAAAAUACAUAUUGGAAUGUUUUGAACAAGAAUGCAAAACUGCCAAUGAGGUAGAAGACAAGUUCAAAUUAUUAUAUCAAAAAUGCCUACAAGAUUCUAAAUUAGCUACAAAAUUAGUGCUGAUGGUUUCUUCUUAUUCAUUCAUAACGACAGAGGUUCAUUCAGUAAAGUUGCGAAACAUAUUUAUUAGACAUAUUCAGCAAGAUUUUGAAAAUAGCAAACAGUUACAAACAACAGAUUCUGAUUGUUUUCGCAAUGCCAUACGAAUGUUAGGAGAAUUCUUCAAUAAGGCCAGACUUGUAGAUGGUAGUCAAAUUAAGUUCUUAGCUGCUCCUUUGCUUAGAUAUUUUGAUAUGCUAGUUGAAUCAGCACAACCUGAGGAUUUGGAACUUUUUACAGUUCAGUUAUUUUUAAAUGGGAGUAGUAUCAAAGCAGAAUUUCCUCAGAAAUUGAGUGAAAUAAUGGUUAAAAUACGGGUACUGCUGACUACAGACACUCAGUUGACUAAAAUAUCAAAAUUAUGGCUUUUAUUGGCUUUGGAUGUGGAAAGUCAUCGAUUUAGCUUGCUUACAUCAGAUUUGCAAAAAUUUUACCAGGAUCAGUUAGGGGAUAAGGCUAUGGCUGGAUUUCAGUUGCUGACUCCAAAAUCAUCCUUCAAGUUUAUAUAAAUGAAAAAUUUUAUGGUUUGGUUGGCAAGAAUUCUUUAGGAAUGUGUAAAAUGGUACAACAGAAUAAUGUGUGGCUUCCAUAAUCCUUUAUCUGUAGAAAUUUCGUAUUCAAACAAAACGUUAGAUAGUUAUCAAAGUAGUGUUAAUGUUCUGCAGGUGUCACC